UCGACGGUAACGGGAGCUUGCUCCGCUGACGAGUGGCGAACGGGUGAGUAAUGUAUCGGAACGUACCUUUCAGUGGGGGAUAACGUAGCGAAAGUUACGCUAAUACCGCAUAUUCUGUGAGCAGGAAAGCAGGGGACCUUCGGGCCUUGCGCUGAUUGAGCGGCUGAUAUCAGAUUAGCUAGUUGGUGAGGUAAAGGCUCACCAAGGCGACGAUCUGUAGCGGGUCUGAGAGGAUGAUCCGCCACACUGGAACUGAGACACGGUCCAGACUCCUACGGGAGGCAGCAGUGGGGAAUUUUGGACAAUGGGGGCAACCCUGAUCCAGCCAUGCCGCGUGAGUGAAGAAGGCCUUCGGGUUGUAAAGCUCUUUCGGCCGGGAAAAAAUCGCACGGGCUAAUACUCUGUGUGGAUGAUGGUACCGGAAUAAGAAGCACCGGCUAACUACGUGCCAGCAGCCGCGGUAAUACGUAGGGUGCGAGCGUUAAUCGGAAUUACUGGGCGUAAAGCGUGCGCAGGCGGUUUUUUAAGACAGGCGUGAAAUCCCCGGGCUCAACCUGGGAACUGCGCUUGUGACUGGAAGGCUAGAGUACGGCAGAGGGGGGUGGAAUUCCACGUGUAGCAGUGAAAUGCGUAGAGAUGUGGAGGAACACCAAUGGCGAAGGCAGCCCCCUGGGUCGAUACUGACGCUCAUGCACGAAAGCGUGGGGAGCAAACAGGAUUAGAUACCCUGGUAGUCCACGCCCUAAACGAUGUCAACUAGGUGUUGGGUGGGUAAAACCAUUUAGUACCGGAGCUAACGCGUGAAGUUGACCGCCUGGGGAGUACGGCCGCAAGGUUAAAACUCAAAGGAAUUGACGGG
rnacentral:rRNA from 1 species